GGAUCAUUGUCGAAAUCGAACGGAAGAACGACCCGCGAAUCGUCAUUGCGUAGUAGACAGAGCCCGUGAGCACCUAACGCUCACGGGUCUCGCGUCGCGUCGGCGCGGGUGUACUCGAGACCCGCGUCGUACCGGCGGACAAACAACGUCAGCACGGAUCGUGCCAAGGAGCUGCAUGGAGAGAAUCGUCGUCCCACGCCUUUGAUAGUCCUCGACGCGGGACGGGGGACGUACGCAAUCUCUACUCAAAAGUCUAAACGACUCUCGGCAACGGAUAUCUCGGCUCUUGCAUCGAUGAAGAACGUAGCGAAAUGCGAUACUUGGUGUGAAUUGCAGAAUCCCGUGAACCAUCAAUUCUUUGAACGCAAGUUGCGCCCGAAGCCAUUCGGCCGAGGGCACGCCUGCCUGGGCGUCGUGAAUCCCCUUGCCCCUAGGCACCCGCAUGAGCAUUGGCGGGGACAUAUGCUCGGGCGCAGAAUAUGGUCUCCCGUGGGAUCGGCAUGCACGGCAUGUCGAGGUGCGGUUGGCCGAAAAUCGAGCAUGGCGGUGACGGGCACCACGGCGUUCGGUGGAUCGAAUGAGAUUGGCUGCGUCGUGGGCUCGGCAUGCGGCGGGCUCCGGACUUUGAAUAUCCCCGAGUGCGAUCCCAGGUCAGGCGGGGCUACCCGCUGAGUUUAAGCAUAUCAAUAAGCGGAGGAAAAGAAACUAACAAGGAUUCCCUUAGUAGCGGC
rnacentral:rRNA from 1 species